UGCUUGUGCAUAUAAAUGGGCGUGGCGCUAACUAUAUCUUGUUUACCUUAUCUUUCUUUGGAAAAAGUUUUAAAGUCUGUUUGGGGUGUCACAUCUUGCAUGUUCCCCAGCACUGAAGAGUGUUGUUAUGUUAGCAGCAAACACUAGCACACUGUUUUAUCAA
rnacentral:lncRNA from 1 species